GAAAAAAAAAAAAGGAAGAAAGUACGUUCUUGGAGUCUCUUCCUGUGAAGGAGCAUGAAAUCGAUUAAAAUAGAGAAAAAUAACUACAUGGAGAAGAAGUGGAACUCUUGCUAUUUCAAGUAUGGAUUUCAAGGGUGAAGUAAUCAACAAUGAGACUGUUUUGCGGGAUCUGAAGCACCAAUUUGAUAUAAAUUGACAGAUUGAGAGUCUAUCAUAAAACCUCGAAGAUUGGGUAUUCUGAAUUUAGUAUGAAUUAGCCUAAACGAAGGAAGUAUUACGAGACCGAUAUGAUGUGAUUAUAGAUUGAUUGAAGGAAGUCAUACAGAUUGCCCAAGUGACAUAUUUGGUACUUCAACACGAGUACUAGAAUUCAGGUGGUAUUGAAGAGGAUUUCAUUAACUAGCGUGUGAGUUGGUAGCAUCUAGUGAGCCCCGCAUUGCUUCGCGUGGCAAGAGAGCUAUUGAUUUGCUAUGUUUAUUUAGUUUCUUUUAAAAACUCUUAGAGUCGCUCCAUUUGUCAUUCCUUUGAUUUGAGUCAGGAUUAGUCCUUCGAAUUGUAGUCAAGUGACUAGUUUGGAACUUUUUCCGUAAUUUGGAGAUGAAUUGGUUUUAUUGCGUGACAAUUUGAUCAUUGUUGGAUAUUAUAUGGUGGUUUAUAGUUGCUAUUAGUUGUGUUGUGAAUUUCUGAGACAGGAAAAAUCCAGGAUAGGCCUAAAAACCAAGGAAACUCUGCCCGAUUUUCUGUAGAAUUCUGGUGAGGCUUGCUUUGGGAUUCUCCCCCUUAGCGCCGGUCAUGAUCCUUAAUUGGGUCGUGACAAUGGUUGUUAAUAGUGCAGAUUUUCUGAUAGAUUCUUUGAAUCCCGAAAUAUGUUGUGUUUAAUGCAAAAUGAGAGACGCUUCUACUAUUCUAAAUCAGUUGCACUUCUUCAGCUGGUCAUACUAUCUAUUCUAGGAUAUGUUCAUCAGAAGUGGCAUCUUGUGAUUGUUUAUUACUUGAAAUAUGAAAAUGCAGAUUCUUUUUAUAUUUUAAGUAUAUAGUUUGUAGAUAAACCUAUUGGGUAUGCCUCAUUGCAUAUAACAAGGCUUAAGACUUGUUCAAAACUGAAAUUGCUUAUUUGCUGAUCCUAACUAGAUGAAGAUCAUGAGAUAUAUUCCCUAUUUACUCUCCUAGAAAUUACUGGAUGACAAUUGCUUGGAGUUAUAUACUAGAUCCAUCAAGGAGACUACUUAUGUGAAAGUAUUGAAGUUCAUAAGAAGAUUACUUUGGUAAGCCGUACAAAAGCAGCAUUGCUUUCACUUUGCGUCCUUCAACCAGAUGCUCUACUUCUUUCACCACUUUAACUUUUUCACCCUUCUGUAUUGACCUUGACACCUAGCAUGAGUGAAUUGAAUGCAACAUGAGAGACUAGAUGACUGCAUACCAUAGGCAAGAGAAGUCUAUAAUAGAAACCAAUGUACUCACAUAAGUUACGGCUUCCAAUUCAGAUUUAUCAUAGACAGUCAAGCCAAGUGAUGUCUGUGAAACCAACCAAGCACUAUUAAUACUACAAAAUGUGAUGGAAGUAAUAAAAUUCCACUUGCUAAUGUAAACACCUGUUCUGCCUACCUUUUGAACAUUUUUUAUCAUCUCUUUUUCAUCAACUAACAGAAUUGGAAUGUAAUAUCGGAUUUUCAUGUUCAUUCCUUUGAAAAAUCUGUGUACUUCAUCAAGAAGGGGCUUACAGUCUCCAGGAUCUGUAACUGCUGUAUAAUGACAAUCAGGGCAAAGUUUCCGACCAUCAUUCAGAGUGAUAUACUUCAGGUCUCCUAUCUACAAAUAGCUGCAGCACUGAGGAGUUCCAUCAGAUGUAUGCUUUUCACAGUAAGUUUGGCCCCAGUAUGUACACCUUGACCAAUCCGAGCAAAUCUGUACCAAACAUAAGUAUCAGGUAAACUCAUUUAGUUAUUUUCUGAUCAUCUUCACAGUUACAACUUACAAGGAUAAAUUAUUUCAAGAAAGACUAAAGGGAAGGACAUUGGAGGAAAGGGAACACAAACCUCUUCUUCACAAACAUCACAAACAAGAAUAUUGCACCGCUUUCUACUCUUUCUCCAGAAAGAAGUGCUCCUACAAAAUCAUAAAAACGUGUCUAAAGAAAAAUAUUUUACUCAUAAACUGAAUAUAUCUUUGAUGCUCUCCACAGUUCUUCACAAUUUCCCACAAUUGAAAAAUAGCUAGCAACACUUGUGUUAUAUUAGAAUGAAACCUGCUUUAACUUAAAACAGGACCAUAAUCCUAACUCGACAUGAAUUAAGUAAACUUGCAAAUACCAAAUCCUAAUCAAUUUAACUUCCUGAAUUAGUUUUCCGAUGGUGUCAAUAUGAUCAAAUGGAAAGCUUAAAAAGUCAUGGCAAAAGAUACUGCAAAAUGAUAAGAACUUCUCAAGGAUUUAGUUCUUAGAAGAAUUAUCAAGAGAGCAAACAGAAGCAUGACUUAAAUUUUGUUUACUUUGCAUGUAUAGCUAAAGGCAAUUUAUUCAUUGCUUAUCUAGAAGCACUUGAAUUGUGUUACACUUACCUUGAUGCAUGGACAAAUGGAUUUAACUCCUUGAAAAGUUUCCACCAUUUCAGCUCUCUGCCUCCAGUACUGGUGCUGUAAUGAUGUAAACAAAUCUGAUCUUAAACUUAAUCAGCUUGCCA